rnacentral:lncRNA from 1 species
CAAAGAAUCUGUUCCACCAUUGUUUGGCCAAGACUUCCCUGUCUGGUGGUUAAGAACUGAGGGACUGGGGUUUUCCAGCCAGUCUGCAUCUGUGAGGAACUGAUAGUGAAGGUGCUCAGUGUUUGUUGAAUGCAUAAAUGACCAAUGGAAAGAAGGAAGAAAAAAGAAGGAAGGAAGGAAGGAAUGAAGGAAGAAAGGAAGGACCAGAGAGAGGAACAAGACCCUCUGCUGAGCCAGCAGGUACAAAUCAGCUCACAGCCUGCAGAACAGAAACUGACAGCGCGUCAGAGACCUGCAUGACAGUCCUGGCUUCCACUCUGGCCUCUCAGUUUCCUCAUAUGUUCAGUGAGUUCAUCAUCCUUCUCACACAAUAAAGAUGAAGACCAACACCACCUGACAUUCGUUGAGUAUUUACUAGGGGCCAGGUGUUCUACUAAGUGUUUCCAAUUCAUAUUCUCAUUGAACCUCCACAACUACUCGAUGAAGAAGGCAUAAUCUCUGUCCCCAUUUUAUAGAUGAAGAAAGUGAAGUCUAGACAUAACUUACCUGCCCAAUGUCACACAGCUGGGAGUUUGCCAAAUUAAGAUCCAAAUCAUGAUUUUUUUUAAAUUCGUUGCAAUAAUC